AUAGGUAGGGACAUCUCUAUGCCCCUAUUCAGCAGGAAGAAGUUAUAGAAGAUAAGACCUUCCACCCUCAGCAACCUUGAAGAUUUAAAGGUCAAAAAUUGUUCAGGGGGAAAUGAGGAGGAAGCAGG